UGGAGAUCUACCGUUUUUGUGUGUUCCUAGUAAUAAAAACAUCUACUUUUGCCUAAGUUGAAAUUUCAUUAUGAAAGCCAAACCCUCAAUUUGAUAUGUCUAUUUCGGAAGCAGUUGACUAUGGGUUCCACAUACAUAUGUGUAUCAUACAUAUAUGCAUCAUAUCUUUUCAUAUGGAUGACAUCGCUGGCACAAUGCAAAGGAACGUUCAAAAAGUUUUUGAACAGAGACAACUGGAACUACGAGUUAAGCUUUACGGAUAAUAUCCCGGAAGGCGAACAGAAUCUUUG